rnacentral:rRNA from 1 species
AACGAACGCUGGCGGCAUGCCUAACACAUGCAAGUCGAACGAGACCUUCGGGUCUAGUGGCGCACGGGUGCGUAACGCGUGGGAACCUGCCCUUAGGUUCGGAAUAACUCCCCGAAAGGGGUGCUAAUACCGGAUAAUGUCUUCGGACCAAAGAUUUAUCGCCUUUGGAUGGGCCCGCGUUGUAUUAGCUAGUUGGUAGGGUAAAAGCCUACCAAGGCGACGAUCCAUAGCUGGUAUGAGAGGAUGAUCAGCCACACUGGUACUGAGACACGGCCCAGACUACUACGGGAGGCAGCAGUGGGGAAUAUUGGACAAUGGGCGAAAGCAUGAUCCAGCAAUGCCGCGUGAGUGAUGAAGGCCUUAGGGUUGUAAAGCUCUUUUACCCGGGAUGAUAAUGACAGUACCGGGAGAAUAAGCACCGGCUAACUCCGUG